rnacentral:rRNA from 1 species
UACGUAGGGGGCUAGCGUUGUCCGGAAUCAUUGGGCGUAAAGCGCGUGUAGGCGGUCCGGUAAGUCUGCUGUGAAAGUCGGGGGCUCAACCCUCGGAUGGCGGUGGAUACUGUCGGGCUUGAGUACGGAAGAGGCGAGUGGAAUUCCUGGUGUAGCGGUGAAAUGCGCAGAUAUCAGGAGGAACACCAAUUGCGAAGGCAGCUCGCUGGGACGUUACUGACGCUGAGACGCGAAAGCGUGGGGAGCAAACAGG